CGAGUCAGUAGCAUAUAUUUCUCUACUUAUUACUCUCUUUUCACUUCAGAUAACUAGCUAACUAGAAUUUAACACUUCUUCUUCUUGUUAGUUAUUAUCAAGGCUGAGUUUGUUGUUUCCAGAACAAUAAGUUAUAGAUAAAUAAUUAUGUGUCAUGUAUUUAAAUGCUUUAUUUAUACUAAAAUGGCAUAGGAAUCAUUUUUAAGUUUAUCAUGUUUCCAUCUGUUCUUAUUAGUCAUGUUUGACUCUUGCCUAUCAGAGCAAAUGGGCGAAACAGAGGGUGUUGGAGAGGAGAAAAAAGUGUGCUACUACAUCAGAGGUCACAGAGUCUGCCACCCACCUACGGCUCAGGCAGAGACACACAGUGUUGAAGAAGAUAAAAGAGUUUGCUAUUAUGUCAGGGGUCACAGAGUCUGCCACCCACCGGCUCCCUAAAUGGCAGAGUGCAUCACGUUGCUGUACAUGGCCUCCCCCAUGAGUAUUGCUUGAUGUAGUGAGGAGAAGUUUGGAAAUAAAACCAAACC
rnacentral:lncRNA from 1 species